rnacentral:rRNA from 1 species
UCUGGCUCAGGAUGAACGCUGGCGGCGUGCUUAACACAUGCAAGUCGAACGGGUUUAGCGAGAGCUUGCUUUGCUAAAACUAGUGGCGGACGGGUGAGUAACGCGUGAGUAACCUGCCUUAGACUGGGGAUAACACUUAGAAAUAGGUGCGUAAUACCGCAUAAGCGCACAGUGCCGCAUGGCACAGUGUGAAAAACUCCGGUGGUCUAAGAUGGACUCGCGUCUGAUUAGCUAGUUGGUGAGGUAACGGCCCACCAAGGCGACGAUCAGUAGCCGGCCUGAGAGGGUGAACGGCCACAUUGGGACUGAGACACGGCCCAAACUCCUACGGGAGGCAGCAGUGGGGGAUAUUGCACAAUGGGCGAAAGCCUGAUGCAAGCGACGCCGCGUGAGUGAAGAAGUAUUUCGGUAUGUAAAGCUCUAUCAGCAGGGAAGAAAAUGACGGUACCUGACUAAGAAGCCCCGGCUAACUACGUGCCAGCCGCUGC